rnacentral:rRNA from 1 species
CGGCGGACGGGUGAGUAACACGUGGAUAACCUACCUAUAAGACUGGAUAACUUCGGGAAACCGGAGCUAAUACCGGAUAAUAUAUUGAACCGCAUGGUUCAAUAGUGAAAGACGGUUUUGCUGUCACUUAUAGAUGGAUCCGCGCCGCAUUAGCUAGUUGGUAAGGUAACGGCUUACCAAGGCAACGAUGCGUAGCCGACCUGAGAGGGUGAUCGGCCACACUGGAACUGAGACACGGUCCAGACUCCUACGGGAGGCAGCAGUA